CUUCGUACGAUCUUUAGAUCAUCGGUGCGAAGUUGUUGUUUGUUGACGAUGAGUAGUCGUAGUCACUGAGGGAGAUGAAGCGGAUUCUGGUGUUGGUUGAAUGAAGCGAACUCCGACGAUCGAAACCGAGUGAUGAACGAUGAUGCUCGCAACAGAGCGAAUGGCGACGAGGCUCGAAGUGAAGACGACGAUCGAAAGCGAUUCAAUUCCGGAAAGGUACUUUCAAGCUUUUUCUCUACUUUAUUCUGUUGCGAAUCACUUCUGUUACGAAGCUUCUUCCUCAAUUCUUUUGUGAAGCUUUUCUAGUGUUUCGAUUAUGUUAUCGAUAAGGUGAUUAUGAAGAGGGAUUGGAGUUUAUGGUGUUGAGUGUUACCAAUGGAAGGUUCAGUGUGUUGGUUCAAUGGAGGUUGAAGGUGGAUUCUAGAUUGUGAUUGUGAAGUUUGUUAGAAUUUGGAGGGAGGGAAGAAGAAGAAGAAUCUGGAAGCGUAGUGAAGGUUGGAUGAAAGCUCGGUUGGGAAGAGGAGGUUGAAGUGGUGGUUAACGGUUUUGUGAGUUUGUUACGGUUGUUGAAGGAAUUGAAGAGAGGCUUGGUUCAGUUGUUAGAGGUUGAAGAAGA
rnacentral:lncRNA from 1 species